CUUGAAUUGAAAUUUAUUUGUGUAAUGCAGGAAAACCGUGACACCGUCUAUAAACGCCACUAUAAGCUUUUCUACUAGGAUAGAAUUGAAAUUUAUUUGGGAUCAAUCCAACUGUACUCGUUCAAAAGAAGGUGAAUUGUGCAAGGAAACUAGAAAGCUCCGUGAAAUAGGAUAUGAUGAUGUAGCCAACAUACUCUUGGUUGACGAUUCAAAGCAUAAAGCCAAAUUAAAUCUACCGAAUACAGCAAUAUUUCCCACGUCAUACAACUACAAAAACUUGAAUGAUGAUGAACUGGGACCUAACGGCAAUCUUCGAUUAUAUCUUAAAGGAUUGGCAGCAGCUACUACUACAUCUGUUUCUGAUUAUGUCAGGGAUCAUCCAUUUUGUCCGUCACAAAGAAAGUAAUUUUGAGGAUUAAACCUGUUCCUAAAACAGAUUUGAGUAAUUAAGUGUAAAGAUGGAUAUAAAAUGGUGAAAAACAGUUGUAAGAUCGUGUUUUUCUUGUAGUGUUAGGAAGCAGCUAAACUGUUUUUAUUUAGAAAGCACUUAUUAUGUACUGAUUAGAAAAUCUUAUUAUGUUCUUGAUGAUUUUUCCUCCUUGUAUAAACACGA